GGGUGACCUGCCUUCGAGUGGGGGAUAACGUCCCGAAAGGGACGCUAAUACCGCAUGACAUCCCGCCGUUGAAAUCGGUGGAGAUCAAAGCUGGGGAUCGCAAGACCUAGCGCUUGAAGAGGGGCCCGCGUCCGAUUAGCUAGUUGGUGAGGUAACGGCUCACCAAGGCAACGAUCGGUAGCCGGCCUGAGAGGGCGGACGGCCACACUGGGACUGAGACACGGCCCAGACUCCUACGGGAGGCAGCAGUGGGGAAUUGUUCACAAUGGGCGCAAGCCUGAUGACGCAACGCCGCGUGGAGGAUGAAGAUCUUCGGGUCGUAAACUCCUUUCGAUCGAGACGAACGACUUCCGGGCUAAUCACCGGGAGAGUGACGGUACCGAGAGAAGAAGCCCCGGCUAACUCCGUGCCAGCAGCCGCGGUAAUACGGGGGGGGCAAGCGUUGUUCGGAAUUACUGGGCGUAAAGGGCUCGUAGGCGGCCAACUAAGUCAGACGUGAAAUCCCUCGGCUUAACCGGGGAACUGCGUCUGAUACUGGAUGGCU
rnacentral:rRNA from 1 species